CUACUGGCGCUUCCAAAGGCGAAGCUCUCGUCUUUGGCGACCAGCAAACGGAGGGCUAAAACCUGUAGUUUUGAAGAAAGGGAUGAGAGCGAAAGCCGUUGCGCUUCCAUACACGCGCAUACGUUUUCUUGCUAGGGCGGACACGGAUUUCUCUCUAAAGGCGAAGAAAAAGAAGUGGGCGAACACUCGGCCCAGCGGGCGAACAUGCCGGCUCCGGCUCCGCGCACCUGCUGACACCUUUCGAAGCACUUUCACGUGUGAACCGAAGUCGUCUUGCCAAACUCCUUCCUUUCUCAUUUCAGUCCUCGCCUUUUUCAUCUUACGUAGGGGCAU
rnacentral:rRNA from 1 species